rnacentral:rRNA from 1 species
UUACGGGAGGCAGCAGUGGGGAAUAUUGGACAAUGGGCGAAAGCCUGAUCCAGCAAUGCCGCGUGAGUGAAGAAGGCCUUCGGGUUGUAAAGCUCUUUUACCCGGGAUGAUAAUGACCGUACCGGGAGAAUAAGCCCCGGCUAACUCCGUGCCAGCAGCCGCGGUAAUACGGAGGGGGCUAGCGUUGUUCGGAAUUACUGGGCGUAAAGCGUGCGUAGGCGGCUUUGUAAGUCAGAGGUGAAAGCCUGGAGCUCAACUCCAGAACUGCCUUUGAGACUGCAAGGCUUGAACACGGGAGAGGUGAGUGGAAUUCCGAGUGUAGAGGUGAAAUUCGUAGAUAUUCGGAAGAACACCAGUGGCGAAGGCGGCUCACUGGACCGUUGUUGACGCUGAGGCACGAAAGCGUGGGGAGCAAACAGGAUUAGAUACCCCGGU